UACGAGGGGGGCAAGCGUUGUUCGGAAUUACUGGGCGUAAAGCGCACGUAGGCGGCUUUCUAAGUCGGGGGUGAAAUCCUGGAGCUCAACUCCAGAACUGCCUUCGAUACUGGAAAGCUCGAGUCCGGGAGAGGUGAGUGGAACUGCGAGUGUAGAGGUGAAAUUCGUAGAUAUUCGCAAGAACACCAGUGGCGAAGGCGGCUCACUGGCCCGGUACUGACGCUGAGGUGCGAAAGCGUGGGGAGCAAACAGG
rnacentral:rRNA from 1 species